rnacentral:lncRNA from 1 species
GUGGGCGGCAAUGAUUGAUGACUCAUAAUCCUAUCUCUUGCCUAAUUCGAAUGCAAUCCGAAUUAGAGAUAAGAUAAAAAUAAGGAAAGAAAUUUUUCAUAUAAGGAAGGUUGUUGGAACCAUAUUAUUUUUUUCUUUAUUUUUAUUGGAGAUUUCUUGGGCAUGUGAGACUCCAAAAUCCUUCUCCAUGCCAAGGGGCAUUUUCUAGAA